CACCUAAAUCCAGCAGCAGUUGAGCCAACCGGGAAGGAGCCACCAUUGAAGUACUUGGGGGAUGAAGAAACAGAAUCAUCUGGAUUCCAUGUGUAAAUCAUGGGAGCUCCUAGGCAUUUGAUCAAACACAACCAACGCCUAGUACUGUCAGCACCACAUCUGCAGCUGCAGGAACGUCGCCGACUAAACGGACUCUGGUGGUGCUAUUGAACGGCCUAGGUGGCCAAGUUUGAACAAAACCUGCAAGAUGAACCCAAGGGGAGCUCCUUCACCUGCAAGAUGAACAGAAAAUGCACAUUAAGGUGACCUGAAGAACCACCAGAUGUUGAACUGAAUAUACACAAGAUAAGGAGAUGAGCGUCCAGGGGGAGGUGGGGAAUAGCUAGCACCUCCCGAGCUGCAGCAUAGAACGGCUUAGCGCAAUGUUGUAGAACGGCUUAGCGCAUGUGCACAGUACCAUCAACGUUGAACCUGUUGAGUCCUGAUUUUUGAACCUUCGCAAUAGUAAUACAUGUACUGGGCGGUACAUGCUUCUGUUGUUGAGCAGCUGACCUACAGAAACAAAAACACUCCUGGGUGGACACACAAAAUCAUGAUAAAAAUAGUGGCAGCAAGAAGCAAUCAGAAGUGAAUAUGCAGUAGUACUAUAAUGGAAUAUUAGUAAAAAUUGAAGUUUAGAUAACUAUGGCACACACAUCAAACAAUAAUUUUGAACUUACAUAAUCCUGAAACAGGAACUUCAUUUUUUAAAAUUUAGCAAUUCUGAAUGCACUAGCUAUGUAAUUGAAUUUUUUAGACCAUAGUAAUUGAACUUCAAGGACAUUUCUUUACAAAACAUUUGUUUUUUCCAUUUUGCACAAUAAUUAUGUCCUUGUCAGUACGACUCAUCAGAAUUGUAGACGGCAUCCUUGUCAGUACGAGUCAUCAGUACUAGUGCUCUUUUUCCAAAGAAAAUGUGUUAAAAUAGAAACAUUUUUCCUGUAUGUAUGUUACUUUUAAUGUAAACCUUUCUUACCAUGGAAAUUAAUGUAGCAAUAAGCAAUGAGAGAUGCCUUCACAGGUGAACAUACAGUUGCGAGAUCACGAGUAACAUGAAGUAAAUUUUUCACUAAAAUUUUGUGAAACAAAUACAUUAAGAAACUUAGUGCAGAAACAAAAAUUUAAGAUAAUGGUGCCGGCCAUGCGACCAGAGAUGUCGCGUGAGCCUGGAAAUUAAGCUAAUGGCCCACCGUUGUGCUCAUUAGUUCAGGGUUAAUUUGCACGAGGCUUAUGGCCUCGACAGCGAAUUAUUUUUGGGCAGUGACUUGACCUUGGACUGGGCGAUGAUGAGCUGGACUUGUUACACUACUAUCACUUGCUUCGUGGUAACAAACCACCAUCUUUUUUUCUCCAUUGGGAAUCUUUUGACGACCAUUUGUCCCUCAAUCAAAGAAGAUCAGUUGUUUUGCCCUCCCAGUACACAAGAAAUAAAAAAGGGAG
rnacentral:lncRNA from 1 species